rnacentral:rRNA from 1 species
AUUGAACGCUGGCGGCAUGCCUUACACAUGCAAGUCGAACGGCAGCACGGGUGCUUGCACCUGGUGGCGAGUGGCGAACGGGUGAGUAAUACAUCGGAACGUACCUUAUCGUGGGGGAUAACGCAGCGAAAGCUGUGCUAAUACCGCGUACGCCCUGAGGGGGCAAGCGGGGGAUCGAAAGACCUCGCGCGAUUAGAGCGGCCUAUGCCUGAUUAGCUUGUUUGUGGGGUAAAAGCCCACCAAGCCGACGAUCAGUAACUGUUCUCAGAGGACGAUCAGCCACACUGGGGCGGAGGCACGGCUGAGACUCGUACGGCACGCAGCAGUGGGGAAUGUUGGACAACGGGGGCAACCAUGAUCCAGCAAUGCCGCGUGAGUGAAGAAGGCCUUCGGGUUGUAACGCUCUUUUGUCAGGGAAGAAACACCGGCUCUAACACAGUCCGGGAAUGACGGUACCUGAAGAAUAAGCACCGGCUAACUACGUGCCAGCAGCCGCGGUAA